AUUGAACGCUGGCGGCAGGCUUAACACAUGCAAGUCGAGCGGAGAGAGGUAGCUUGCUACUGAUCUUAGCGGCGGACGGGUGAGUAAUGCUUAGGAAUCUGCCUAUUAGUGGGGGACAACAUUUCGAAAGGAAUGCUAAUACCGCAUACGUCCUACGGGAGAAAGCAGGGGAUCUCCGGGCCUUGCGCUAAUAGAUGAGCCUAAGUCGGAUUAGCUAGUUGGUGGGGUAAAGAACUACCAAGGCGACGAUCUGUAGCGGGUCUGAGAGGAUGAUCCGCCACACUGGGACUGAGACACGGCCCAGACUCCUACGGGAGGCAGCAGUGGGGAAUAUUGGACAAUGGGCGCAAGCCUGAUCCAGCCAUGCCGCGUGUGUGAAGAAGGCCUUGUGGUUGUAAAGCACUUUAAGCGAGGAGGAGGCUACUUUAGUUAAUACCUAGAGAUAGUGGACGUUACUCGCAGAAUAAGCACCGGCUAACUCUGUGCCAGCCGCCGCGGUAA
rnacentral:rRNA from 1 species